GACGAACGCUGGCGGCGUGCUUAACACAUGCAAGUCGAACGCUGAAGCUCAGCUUUUGUUGGGUGGAUGAGUGGCGAACGGGUGAGUAACACGUGAGUAACCUGCCUCCUUCUUUGGGAUAGCGCCCGGAAACGGGUGCUAAUACUGGAUAUUCACUGGUCUUCGCAUGGGGGUUGGUGGAAAGGGUUUUUCUGGUGGGGGAUGGGCUCGCGGCCUAUCAGCUUGUUGGUGGGGUGAUGGCCUACCAAGGCUUUGACGGGUAGCCGGCCUGAGAGGGUGACCGGUCACAUUGGGACUGAGAUACGGCCCAGACUCCUACGGGAGGCAGCAGUGGGGAAUAUUGCACAAUGGGCGCAAGCCUGAUGCAGCGACGCCGCGUGAGGGAUGGAGGCCUUCGGGUUGUGAACCUCUUUCGCUCAUGGUCAAGCCGCAACAAUGGUUGUGGUGAGGGUAGUGGGUAAAGAAGCGCCGGCUAACUACGUG
rnacentral:rRNA from 1 species